GUGACCGUGGCGGUGUAAGUGGAAGCAGCGGUGGAGGAGGAUGAGGUAACCAACACUGUUUUUUUUUAAUUGUGGCAGCCCACAAAAUAUUGGGACAUAUAAAAAAGACAACUCUGUUCCGCAGAGUAGCUGUGGAUAUUAUAGUUGCGCAGGCACUUUGUUGACUCUAGAAAACCUCGGCCCAAUCGCACAUUCCCGUGACGGCGAUUUUGCAUUUGGACGUCAUCCAUAUCAACUUUCUAUGCCAGUUUCUGUGCCUACCAUGGUGACCAUGGGUAACGGAGAAUCAGGGUUACAUUCCAUACAGGGACCCUGAGAAAUGGCUACCACAUGCAAGGAAGGCA